GAGGAAGAGGAACACCGUCAAGACAAGGGCCAAGAAAAGGAUCUAGAAGACAAUGGGCUAUAACCAGAGGAGCAUGAUCCUACGUGUUGCACCACUUGCAGGAAGAACAUCCAUUACCUCUUCGAUGCCGUCGACGACAUCAUGCUAGCCUUGCAAGCUCAAGAUCAAAAGGUUGAAGAUAAUGAUCACCGUUAGGAGGACGACUUCAAGUUCUUGCAAAGGAACAUGAGGAAGCUCUUCGAGAUGUGCG
rnacentral:lncRNA from 1 species